UACGUAGGGACCAAGCGUUGUUCGGAUUUACUGGGCGUAAAGGGCGCGUAGGCGGCGCGGUAAGUCACUUGUGAAAUCUCUGAGCUUAACUCAGAACGGCCAAGUGAUACUGCAGUGCUAGAGUGUGGAAGGGGCAAUCGGAAUUCUUGGUGUAGCGGUGAAAUGCGUAGAUAUCAAGAGGAACACCUGCGGCGAAGGCGGGUUGCUGGGCCGACACUGACGCUGAGGCGCGAAAGCGUGGGGAGCGAACAGG
rnacentral:rRNA from 1 species